UACAGAGGGUGCAAGCGUUAAUCGGAAUUACUGGGCGUAAAGCGUGCGUAGUCGGUUAUCUAAGUCGGAUGUGAAAUCCCACGGCUCAACCGUGGAAGUGCACUCGAAACUGGAUGGCUAGAGUCCUGGAGAGGAAGGUGGAAUGCUUGGUGUAGAGGUGAAAUUCGUAGAUAUCAGGAGGAACACCGGUGGUGUAGACGGCUCUCUGGACCGUAACUGACCGCUGAG
rnacentral:rRNA from 1 species